rnacentral:rRNA from 1 species
AACGAACGCUGGCGGCAGGCUUAACACAUGCAAGUCGAACGGGUGUAGCAAUACAUCAGUGGCAGACGGGUGAGUAACACGUGGGAACCUUCCUAGGGGUACGGAACAACUCAGGGAAACUUGAGCUAAUACCGUAUACGUCCGUGAGGAGAAAGAUAUUAUCGCCCUUAGACGGGCCCGCGUCGGAUUAGCUAGUUGGUGGGGUAACGGCCUACCAAGGCGACGAUCCGUAGCUGAUCUUAGAGGAUGAUCAGCCACACUGGGACUGAGACACGGCCCAGACUCCUACGGGAGGCAGCAGUGGGGAAUCUUGGACAAUGGGCGCAAGCCUGAUCCAGCCAUGCCGCGUGAGUGAAGAAGGUCUUCGGAUUGUAAAGCUCUUUUGCCAGGGACGAUAAUGACGGUACCUGGAGAAUAAGCCCCGGCAAACUUCGUGCCAGCAGCCGCGGUAAGAC